UACGUAGGCAGCGAGCGUUGUUCGGAGUUACUGGGCGUAAAGGGCAGGCAGGCGGGUCGAUAAGUCGGAUGUGAAAUCUCCCUGGCUUAACCGGGAGAGUGCAUUUGAGACUGUCAACCUGGAGGGCAGCAGAGGAGCGUGGAAUUCCGGGUGGAGUGGUGAAAUGCGUAGAGAUCCGGAGGAACACCAGAGGCGAAAGCGGCGCUCUGGGCUGCACCUGACGCUGAACUGCGAAGGCCAGGGGAGCGAACGGG
rnacentral:rRNA from 1 species